rnacentral:rRNA from 1 species
GGACCAGAUUCCUACGGGAGGCAGCAGUAGGAAUAUUGGUCAAUGGGGGCAACCCUGAACCAGCCAUGCCGCGUGCAGGAUGACUGCCCUAUGGGUUGUAAACUGCUUUUGCCGGGGAAUAAACCCCUCCACGUGUGGAGGGCUGAAUGUACCCGGAGAAUAAGGAUCGGCUAACUCCGUGCCAGCAGCCGCGGUAAUACGGAGGAUCCGAGCGUUAUCCGGAUUUAUUGGGUUUAAAGGGUGCGUAGGCGGCACUUUAAGUCAGGGGUGAAAGACGGCAGCUCAACUGUCGCAGUGCCCUUGAUACUGAAGUGCUUGAAUGCGGUUGAAGACGGCGGAAUGAGACAAGUAGCGGUGAAAUGCAUAGAUAUGUCUCAGAACACCGAUUGCGAAGGCAGCUGUCUAAGCCGUUAUUGACGCUGAUGCACGAAAGCGUGGGGAUCGAACAGGAUUAGAUACCCUGGUAGUCCACGCCCUAAACGAUGAUGACUCGAUGUUUGCGAUAUACAGUAAGCGUCCAAGCGAAAGCGUUAAGUCAUCCACCUGGGGAGUACGCCCGCAAGGGUGAAACUCAAAGGAAUUGACGGGGGCCCGCACAAGCGGAGGAGCAUGUGGUUUAAUUCGAUGAUACGCGAGGAACCUUACCCGGGCUUGAAAGUUACUGAAGCAUCCAGAGACGGAUGCGUCCUUCGGGACAGGAAACUAGGUGCUGCAUGGCUGUCGUCAGCUCGUGCCGUGAGGUGUUGGGUUAAGUCCCGCAACGAGCGCAACCCCUAUGUUUAGUUGCCAGCACGUCAAGGUGGGGACUCUAAACAGACUGCCUGCGCAAGCAGAGAGGAAGGCGGGGACGACGUCAAGUCAUCAUGGCCCUUACGUCCGGGGCUACACACGUGCUACAAUGGAUGGUACAGCGGGCAGCUACACAGCAAUGUGAUGCCAAUCUCGAAAAGCCAUUCACAGUUCGGAUCGGGGUCUGCAACUCGACCCCGUGAAGUUGGAUUCGCUAGUAAUCGCGUAUCAGCAAUGACGCGGUGAAUACGUUCCCGGGCCUUGUACACACCGCCCGUCAAGCCAUGAAAGCUGGGGGUACCUAAAGCAUGUAACCGCAAGGAGC